UUUCCAGAGAUGGACUGGUGCCUUCGGGAACUGUGAGACAGGUGCUGCAUGGCUGUCGUCAGCUCGUGUUGUGAAAUGUUGGGUUAAGUCCCGCAACGAGCGCAACCCUUAUCCUUUGUUGCCAGCGAUUAGGUCGGGAACUCAAAGGAGACUGCCAGUGAUAAACUGGAGGAAGGUGGGGAUGACGUCAAGUCAUCAUGGCCCUUACGACCAGGGCUACACACGUGCUACAAUGGCGCAUACAAAGAGAAGCGACCUCGCGAGAGCAAGCGGACCUCAUAAAGUGCGUCGUAGUCCGGAUUGGAGUCUGCAACUCGACUCCAUGAAGUCGGAAUCGCUAGUAAUCGUGGAUCAGAAUGCCACGGUGAAUACGUUCCCGGGCCUUGUACACACCGCCCGUCACACCAUGGGAGUGGGUUGCAAAAGAAGUAGGUAGCUUAACCUUCGGGAGGGCGCUUACCACUUUGUGAUUCAUGACUGGGGUGAAGUCGUAACAAGGUAACCGUAGGGGAACCUGCGGUUGGAUCACCUCCUUACCUUAAAGAAGC
rnacentral:rRNA from 1 species